GCAUAUCAAUAAGCGGAGGAAAAGAAACCAACAGGGAUUGCCUCAGUAACGGCGAGUGAAGCGGCAAAAGCUCAAAUUUGAAAUCUAGCACCUUCGGUGUUCGAGUUGUAAUUUGAAGAUGGUAACCUUGGGUUUGGCUCUUGUCUAUGUUCCUUGGAACAGGACGUCAUAGAGGGUGAGAAUCCCGUCUGAUGAGAUGCCCAUUCCUAUGUAAGGUGCUAUCGAAGAGUCGAGUUGUUUGGGAAUGCAGCUCUAAGUGGGUGGUAAAUUCCAUCUAAAGCUAAAUAUUGGCGAGAGACCGAUAGCGAACAAGUACAGUGAUGGAAAGAUGAAAAGAACUUUGAAAAGAGAGUGAAAAAGUACGUGAAAUUGUUGAAAGGGAAGGGCAUUAGAUCAGACUUGGUGUUUUACGAUUAUCUUCUCUUCUUGAGUUGUGCACUCGUAUUUCACUGGGCCAGCAUCGAUUCGGAUGGCAAGAUAAUGGCAGUUGAAUGUGGCUUCACUUCGGUGGAGUGUUAUAGCUUCUGCUGAUAUUGCCUGUCUGGAUCGAGGGCUGCGUCUUUUGACUAGGAUGCUGGCGUAAUGAUCUAAUGCCGCCCGUCUUGAAACACGGACCAAGGAGUCUAACGUCUAUGCGAGUGUUUGGGUGUAAAACCCGUACGCGUAAUGAAAGUGAACGUAGGUGAGAGCUCUUUUUUGAGUGCAUCAUCGACCGAUCCUGAUGUUUUCGGAUGGAUUUGAGUAAGAGCAUAGCUGUUGGGACCCGAAAGAUGGUGAACUAUGCCUGAAUAGGGUGAAGCCAGAGGAAACUCUGGUGGAGGCUCGUAGCGGUUCUGACGUGCAAAUCGAUCGUCGAAUUUGGGAAUAGGGGCGAAAGACUAAUCGAACCAUCUAGUAGCUGGUUCCUGCCG
rnacentral:rRNA from 1 species